ensembl:lncRNA
CCACCUCCCUGUGUACGCCAAAGCCCUCCUGAAUGUCCUUCUCUUUCUCAUUUCACUUUACAAAUUCUGGGCACAGCUGUGUGUUGGAGGAGAAGGAAGACUUUCCCAACUGAGAUGUGGCAUUUGGGUCACAUUGCAGGGGUGCAGAGGAGGAAUGCUCGGGAUUUCUCCUUCCAGUGGUUCUGUGGCCCUGUCCCUGCAGGAGGCCCCUCGAUGCCUGUGGCUGUCACAGCACUGGCACCAGCCUUACUGCUGCCUGUGCUCCCUCAUAUAUCCUCCUUCAACAUUCUUGAUUAUUGGUACUUAAAUAUAAUUACUGUGGAUUUUAUAGCACUCUGGGACAAGAUAAAGUAGAAUGAAAACCAGUGAGGCAAAUGGCCCUUCCUCUGCUGUUCAGGGAAGAUUUUAAGGUAUUAUUUUAAAGAUAAUUUAUGAAAACCCUGAUCAGAUUACGCAGCUGUGCCUUUCUAUCUCAACAUCGUCCUCCUGAGAGCACUACCAAUAGGGCUUGCUAGUAAAUUUCUGAAGAUCUCUUAAUGUUAUUAGUCUUUCUGCAUCUGGGGAAAUGUUUUCUGAGGAGGCUUUAAUAACCUCAACUAGAAGUCAUCUGUCUGAAUCACCCUUCGCUUACUGCACCGAAGACUUUACCAUCUAAGAUUUCCAAUGGGACUUCAUAUCUCAAUGAAAUGGAAAAAAGAGUGGGAAGGUGCGACUGCAUUAUUAUUCACUUGCUGCCCAAAUUCUGCUCAGCACCUAUUGCACAAAAUGAAGCCAUCAACUGCAAAGACCAGACACUCUGAAGAGGCACUGUAUAUAUGGAGGUGAGUGGAAAACUAGUGUGACGAGGCUCAGAUCUUGCACCCAUCCCUUUCAACGUUUGAUUUGCUUUUCUUCUCUCUCUUUCUUUCACUGUCCCUCUCUGCUUUUGAGCCCGUACAGUUCUGGAAUGGACAAUUCAGAUUACUGGAAGAAAUGGCUUUGGAAGAGACCUGAAGGGACAGAGCGAUGCAAAUGAAAAAGGGAGGCUGAGUCUUAAUACACACAGGUAGCAUGAGAGGCCAAAGAAGGAGUGCAGGCAACACAAGUAGAAGCACAGCACAGUUGGUGGGUGGAUAGGCAGGCAGCUGAGAGUCUAGCUCAUCACCACUUCUUGUUGUCUUGGAUGCAUGAGGAAGCUCUGCUUUGUGGAGUCUCUGUGUUAUUGAGAUGGAGGAGAGCUCUGGCAGGUGGAAGGGAAUGGUGGAGGAACCAGACUGCAACAAAAAAUACUAUUUCUACAUGAAAGGGAAAUGAUUUUCCUAGUUUUCCUCUGUUUCCAAACAGGAUAACUUAAUAAUCAUUUUGUGUUAAGCCAUCUUCCUGGAUUUUGUUUGUUUUGUGGCCUUCAGGAUAAAGACAACUUAAUAUUGCACAUUAAUGUUAAAACAUUUCCUCUCUAGAUGAGCAGACCAAGUUUGAGGUGCAGUGACACUGGGGGAUGAAAGCCAGAACUCUGGUGGCUGUUAUAUCCUGUCCCUGCAGGUUCUUGCAUUACUCUGGCCUCCACACUGUGAGGCCUGAUUAAUCUCUGGUUGAUGAAGUUCGUUCUGUCUCCCAUACAGUUUGCAGAGUAACAAUUAAGAAAUUGAAGAAUGGGAAAUAAACUGGUUUGUUUUAUUGUACAUCCUGCUGUAU